GUGACCUCAAAUCAGGUAGGACUACCCGCUGAACUUAAGCAUAUCAAUAAGCGGAGGAAAAGAAACUAACAAGGAUUCCCCUAGUAACUGCGAGUGAAGCGGGAAAAGCUCAAAUUUAAAAUCUGGCGGUCUUUUGGCUGUCCGAGUUGUAAUCUAGAGAAGUGUUAUCCGCGCUGGACCGUGUACAAGUCUCCUGGAAUGGAGCAUCAUAGAGGGUGAGAAUCCCGUCUUUGACAUGGACUACCAGGGCUUUGUGAUGCGCUCUCAAAGAGUCGAGUUGUUUGGGAAUGCAGCUCAAAAUGGGUGGUAAAUUCCAUCUAAAGCUAAAUAUUGGCGAGAGACCGAUAGCGAACAAGUACCGUGAGGGAAAGAUGAAAAGAACUUUGGAAAGAGAGUUAAACAGUACGUGAAAUUGCUGAAAGGGAAACGCUUGAAGUCAGUCGCGUCGUCCAGGGAUCAACCUUGCUUUUGCUUGGUGCACUUUCUGGUUCGAUGGGUCAGCAUCAAUUUUGACUGUUGGAAAAAGGUUGAGGGAAUGUGGCAUCUUUGGAUGUGUUUAUAGCCCUUGGUCACAUACAAUGGUUGGGAUUGAGGAACUCAGCAYGCCGCAAGGCCGGGUUUAAACCACGUACGUGCUAGAUGCUGC
rnacentral:rRNA from 1 species